CCUACGGGCGGCAGCAGUGGGGAAUAUUGGACAAUGGGGGGAACCCUGAUCCAGCGACGCCGCGUGAGUGAUGAAGUAUUUCGGUAUGUAAAGCUCUAUCAGCAGGGAAGAAAAUGACGGUACCUGACUAAGAAGCCCCGGCUAACUACGUGCCAGCAGCCGUGGUAAUACGUAGGGGCCAAGCGUUGUUCGGCAUUAAUGGGCUCAAAGGGAGCGUAGGCGGGAGUUUAAGUUAGGAGUGAAAGCCUUGGGCUCAACCCUAGAAAUGCUCUUAAUACUGGUUUUAGAGAGUGUGGGAGAGGAUAGUGGAAUUCCUAGUGGAGCGGUAGAAUGCGUAGAUAGUAGGAGGAACAUCAGAGGCGAAGGCGGGUUACUGGACCAUAACGGACGCUGAGGCUCGAAAGCGUGGGGAGCAAACAGGAUUAGAUACCCGUGUAGUC
rnacentral:rRNA from 1 species